UACGUAGGGGGCAAGCGUUGUCCGGAAUUAUUGGGCGUAAAGCGCGUGUAGGCGGCCCGGUAAGUCCGCUGUGAAAGUCGGGGGCUCAACCCGUGGGAUGCCGGUGGAUACUGUCGGGCUAGAGUGCGGAAGAGGCGAGUGGAAUUCCUGGUGUAGCGGUGAAAUGCGCAGAUAUCAGGAGGAACACCGAUUGCGAAGGCAGCUCGCUGGGACGUAACUGACGCUGAGACGCGAAAGCGUGGGGAGCAAACAGG
rnacentral:rRNA from 1 species